GACGAACGCUGGCGGCGUGCUUAACACAUGCAAGUCGAACGAUGAAGCCGGAGCUUGCUCUGGUGAAUUAGUGGCGAACGGGUGAGUAACACGUGAGUAACCUGCCCUUGACUCUGGGAUAACUGCGGGAAACUGUAGCUAAUACCGGAUACGACCCUCGGAGGCAUCUCCUGGGGGUGGAAAGAAUUUCGGUCAAGGAUGGACUCGCGGCCUAUCAGCUAGUUGGUGAGGUAAAGGCUCACCAAGGCGACGACGGGUAGCCGGCCUGAGAGGGUGACCGGCCACACUGGGACUGAGACACGGCCCAGACUCCUACGGGAGGCGGCAGUGGGGAAUCUUGCGCAAUGGGCGAAAGCCUGACGCAGCCAUGCCGCGUGGAUGAUGAAGGUCUUAGGAUUGUGAAAUCCUUUCACCGGGGACGAUAAUGACGGUACCUGGAGAAGAAGCCCCGGCUAACUUCGUGCCAGCCGCCGCCGUAA
rnacentral:rRNA from 1 species